UACGGAGGAUGCAAGCGUUAUCCGGAAUGAUUGGGCGUAAAGCGUCCGCAGGUGGCUGUGUAAGUCUGCUGUCAAAGAGCAAAGCUCAACUUUGUAAAGGCAGUGGAAACUACACGGCUAGAGUGCGUUCGGGGCAGAGGGAAUUCCUGGUGUAGCGGUGAAAUGCGUAGAGAUCAGGAAGAACACCGGUGGCGAAGGCGCUCUGCUAGGCCGCAACUGACACUGAGGGACGAAAGCGUGGGGAGCAAACAGG
rnacentral:rRNA from 1 species